GGGGAACCUGCGGCUGGAUCACCUCCCUUC
rnacentral:rRNA from 1 species